rnacentral:rRNA from 1 species
UACGUAGGAUGCGAGCGUUAAUCGGAAUUACUGGGCGUAAAGCGUGCGCAGGCGGUUUUGUAAGCCAGAUGUGAAAUCCCCGGGCUUAACCUGGGAAUGGCAUUUGGGACUGCAAGGCUUGAGUGCGGCAGAGGAGACUGGAAUUCCUGGUGUAGCAGUGAAAUGCGUAGAUAUCAGGAGGAACACCGAUGGCGAAGGCAGGUCUCUGGGCUGACACUGACGCUCAUGCACGAAAGCGUGGGGAGCAAACAGG